rnacentral:lncRNA from 1 species
UUCCUGCUUCCGUCAUUUUGUACAAAGCUUUUGAGUCGAGUUGGCCGUUAUUAGAUUUCUCUUUCUUUUUGUGUAUCUCGUGGACGACGGUGUGGUGUGUCGCCAUUUUCGGAGUUUUGAUCUUCAUUUCAUUCAAGCAAGCCCAUCGUAGCCUUCUAUUUAUAGCUUAAAGCUUAGCUAGUUGGCUUGGCGUAGGCAAUUCUUUUUUGGUUUGAUAAUUGAAUACUUCAUUGGAUAUUGGAAUCACAUAAUAUUGUAAUUUGACCGCACACAAUUGAUUUUCAAAUGGCCUUGGUGAAGCUGGUGAACGAUGAUGGACGAGAGUCUGUGCCGGGUUGCAGCUCGUGGCAUCCAGUGAACACUACACAAGACUAUGAAUCAUCCAUGUCUAUAAUUGGCGGAAUCAAAGAACUAACAUCAGUGAAGAGCGGAGUGAUGUCAAGUAUCAUCAACACCCUAUUAGAAAAUGGAACUGUUGAACAGGCCAACGAGGAGGGUGCAUAUUGGAGUUUAUUCAAUAAGUUUGUGAUUGAGAGAAGAGUUAACUGUGUGUGUUCUUAGGUGUCUUCUCAGAGCGCCUGAGAGGGAGUAUUUAUAAUCACAGAAUUCACAGCUGGAAGUUCAAGAAACUUUGUGCUCAUUGUGGUUAUAAAUCUUCCAAAUUUGAUGUUUUCCAAAGGAGAACAUACAGGCAGCUUUUCAAAAUUAAUUAACUUUGACUACAGCACUAUAAAUGUGCUUAUUUAUUAAUUUGCAAACAAGUAUAUUUUGGAAUAAUGAGCUUUGACAGCUCUAAACCUUCCAGUACUAGAAUACAAAUUUACUAAAGUGGUAAGUACUAAUUACUAAGUUCUAUAGAAGUGCUUAUUUAUUUACAGACAAUAUUAUUGAUUGGAAUAACGGGCUUUGACGGCUCUAAACUAUCUAUUACUAAAUUAGGCUCACACAAUUAUUAGGUUACAAAAUUAUAUUUAUAUUAGAAUAACUUGCUUUGACAGCUUUAAACUUUCUAGAACUAAAUUAGGCCUACACAGUUAUUAGGUUACAAUAUUAUAUUUCUAUAAUACAAAAUUAUAUUUGACGUAAGUGAAGAGAUUGUUGGGUGCAUUGAGGGCCUAGUAUUUCAUAUGGUUCUCAUUUAACUAAUUUUCAGCUAUAAAUUCGAUGUUGGCUCAGUUUCUUCUGCCAGAGCUUUUUGAAAUGCUUCCAGCUAUGGAUUCUGUGAUUAUAAAUGCUCCCUCUUAGACGUUCUGAGAAGGCACCUAAGGACACACACUGGUGAGAACAAUCAUUAAGAUCAUAAUAAUUGAUCACAUGAUUAAAUGAACUUGAUAAAGAUCCUUUGAUCUAUAAAAGUUCUGACUAAAUGCACCCAAGAAUCACAAAAUAAAAUUAUUGCUAGGAUAAACCAAUAAUUUAAUCUCAAGUAUAUUCACUUAAAUUCUAUAUCUUAAAAUCUUUGCUUAGAUUGUCCUGUCAAAGCUCUUCGAAAUACUUCCAGCUAUGGAUUUUGUGACUAUAAGUAUUAAUUCUCAGACGAUUUGAGAAGACACCUUUGAACACUUACUGGAGAGAAAUCUAUGAUCGUAUUUUAUAAUAGUAUCACAGUGAUAAAAAUUCUUUGAUCCAUAAACUUUAUGACGAAAUUGCUCCAAGGAUUAGUAUCAAAGAAUGAUUGUUGCUAGGAUGAACCAACUAUAUUUAAUGACAAGUGACGCUAAACUUAACGAGCGUUGGCUUGCUUGUUGUAAGUUGUGAAUUUUAAAACUUUAUCUUUGAAAUUACAUUUUAAUGUAAAUUCUUACUUUGAUAUUAAUUUGAAACUUUGGUUUAUGUUGAACGCUCAAAAUGAAAAAGACCGCAAUUGACAAACAAAGAAAAUUGUACCCUGAAAUAAAUUUUCAGUAACUCCAAAAGCCCCGUGGUAAGAGAACCAUUUUUGUUAAAUUGACAUGUAUUCGAUUUUUAUUUCCAAUAAAAAUAUGACAUGUUUUUUCCAUGAAGUUUCUUUUUUAAUUUAAAAAUUAAAUGUUUUUGACAUAAA